ensembl:lncRNA
ACACACACACACACACACUCACACACACACACACACACACACACACACACACACACACACACACACGUUAUUUUGCGUUUAUUUGGAAAUGCAUCGAAAGUAGGCCCGGUCUGUUUCGGUGAUGCCGUCCAGUGUUGCCGCUACAAACCCCGCAUUCAAAACUUCCGGGACGGACCGGGACGCAGCUUCGACAAAAUCGAGUUCAGAGCAGGAAGAGGAAGUGUGUGAGCUGACACAAGGAGACACCAUGACAGACACCCCAGCACGCAGAGUGGGACGCCCUGCUCGCAAACGCAAACCCCCAGUGGAACACCAGGGGUGCUAUGGAGUAGAGGCCAUCUCCAGAAUGCUUAGAAUGA